UAUGAACCAUCCACUCAACCACAACAAGACUAACAUAGCAAUGUCUUAUUUACAAUAAUCCGUUGGCGAGUGAACACAGACCGCUAACAUUAUAAAUUAUCUUCUUCCUCGUUAACCAGCAUUAAGAGGCAAAAUAUAUUAAAAUUGGAAAGACAACUAACACCAAUAUUUAAAAAGUAUACAAAGCACAAUGAUGCCAACAAAGUUAAAAGAGAAAAUAAGACCAGCAGAAUUUCGAUUAAAUUAGGUCUCGGUCUACAACCAUUGAGACUUAAACCAAUGUAACAUUUUGCAUUUAGCCCAUAAUCUGCACUACAACAAAAACCCACAUAUUCAUUCAUAGUGAUCAAUGGAUGACUGGCUUGA
rnacentral:misc_RNA from 1 species